GGGUCCAUAGCUUAGUGGUAGAGCAUUUGACUGCAGAUCAAGAGGUCAUCGGUUCGAUCCCGGUUGGGCCCU
rnacentral:tRNA from 1 species